rnacentral:ncRNA from 1 species
CAACCUCUGAUCAAAGAGAUGAAUGUUG